GGGGAGUGUGCAAUCUGGCAGCUAUGCAUGCUCUCUCACUGCAUUUACCUCUCUGCAACUCCUCCAUCUUCGUUUUUCCUUGACACUGCAUCUCUCACUGCCCAAAAGUAGUUUUCCCUCUCUUUCCUUCAUUUUCCCUCAUUUUCUCUUUCUGGGUCUUUGCAUUUUUCAUUAGUUAUUACUGUCAUGGUUCCCAUUUUAUCCAUGCUCCAUCUUUUUUCCAAAUCCGGCAACACCCAUCUAGAUUCUCCUAAAUCUUUCGUCUUCUGAUACACAUUUUUGUAGCUAUUCCUAUUAGGAGCCAAAAGGGGAAAAAUAAGAAGUAGAUAUUGAAUUUGAAGAAUAUGAAAGUGACCCAGAAAGAUUCAGAGAAAAUAAUU
rnacentral:misc_RNA from 1 species